ensembl:lncRNA
GCUGGGGGCUCAGGAUGCAAGGCCCAGUUGAGGGGUGGGAAGGAUGGGGGUUCUGGGGCCCCAUGGGACUAGAAGCUGUACAAGAGACAGUCACUGCCCCAGAGGGUUUACAGUCUAUCUAGACAAGACAAAGUAUUAUCCCCAUUUUACAGCUGGGCGCUGAGGCAUGGAGAAAUUAAAGCUCAGAUCCUCACAGGUAUUUUAAAUCAAUAGGCGUUAGGCACCUGAAUACCUUUGAAGACAUGAGCCUAAGGUCGGGUCGACACUUAACGAUUAGAUCAACCUAGCUAUGUCGCACAGGGUGAUGAAAAACUUCGUACCCUCAACAACACAGGGCGACUAACCCCGGUACAGAUGCAACUCGGUUGACAGAAGAUCAACCUAGCUACCGCCUCUCAGAGAAGUGGAUUAACUACAUUGAUGGAAAAACCUCUACUGUCGAUGUAGAAAGUGUACACUGUGCUGUUGUAGCGGCUACGGUGUACACAUGGCCUAAAUGACUUGCCCAAUGUCAAACAGGGAAGCUGUGGCAGAGUUGGUGACUAAAAGAUUUUCUGCGAGAGCAUCUUUCCUAAGAAAAAGCCAUGGCAGCUAACUUCAGCCCAAAAUAUCCCUGGGCAGGCUGAAGGAAUUAAAACCAGUCGAUAUUUCAUGGGCUCAUUCCAGCUGGUGAAUGAAAUCUACUAUUCCCGUCACAGCAACUCUGCUUCGGACACAUUCAAGAGGGAGGCUGCGAAGCUGGAGAACGUGAUCGCUGGUGCGUUUGGUAGGAGUGCCCUGAACAAGAGCUACCAGGGCUUGGCUGUGCUGGCAUUGAGGUAGGUGCAGUAGCCUGGUGUAUUUCACAAUGCUGGCUCAUCACACAACCGCGUGGGGGCGACGGACCUGUCUGGUUUUAAGAUUAAGUUAGAUAAGUUUAUGGAGGGAAUGGUUUAAUGGUAAAACAUAGUAGCCAAGGAAUACCAAGCAAUGGUGGGUAAAUAAUAUAAUGGCUAACAGAGGUCAGGCUAGAGACUCUUGCCUAAAUGCUCGGGGUCUUACUGAUCGCCAUAUUUGGGGUCGGGAAGGAAUUUUCCUCCAGGGGUAGAUUGGCUGAGCCUCUGGAGGUUUUUCGCCUUCCUCCGCAGCAUGGGGCAGGGAUCUCUAGCAGGAGGGUCUCUGCCAAUUGAAGUCACUAAAACACAGGAUUGGGGACUUCAACAGCAGAGUCCAGGGAAGGGGUAGGGACGGUUUUGUGGCCUGCAGCAUGCAGGGGGUCAGACCAGAUGAUCAUAAUGGUCCCUUCUGACCUUAAAGUCUAUGAGUCUAUGAGAACCGCAGUCUUGCCACUGUGUUGACAGUAGUGGUGGGCAGACUCCCCAAUUUUGGGAAGCUUAAUCAAUUUGGCUGCAAAUCUUCUGAGAGCCCCUGGCUCAGAAAUGCGGUAGGAGUUGUGAUCCUGAUAAGAAUCCCAGGCCUUCUACUUUGUGAGGUGCAGAAGGGCAGGAAAAUGACCCAAACAAACCCAAAGCUCAAACAAGCGUCUUCGAUCAAGUGUUCAGUCAGGUUCGUAUUUGAUCAGAACCAGUACAACAUCCUUAGUGGACACAGCCACCUUUCCUGAACACACAAUGUACGGACAUUCGUCUCCACAAAAAUUCAU